CACGUAGGGGCGAGCGUUGUCCGGAAUUACUGGGCGUAAAGGGCGCGCAGGCUGUUAUGCGAGUCUGCUGUGAAAUGUACCGGCUCAACCGGUGCCUUGCGGCGGAUACUGCAUAGCUGGAGUACUGGAGAGGGAAGUGGAAUUCCCGGUGUAGCAGUGAAAUGCGUAGAUAUCGGGAGGAACAUCCGUGGCGAAGGCGACUGCCUGGACCAGCACUGACACUGAGGCACGAAAGCGUGGGGAGCAAACAGGAUUA
rnacentral:rRNA from 1 species